rnacentral:rRNA from 1 species
GUAGGGAAUCUUCCACAAUGGACGCAAGUCUGAUGGAGCAACGCCGCGUGAGUGAAGAAGGGUUUCGGCUCGUAAAGCUCUGUUGUUAAAGAAGAACGUGGGUAAGAGUAACUGUUUACCCAGUGACGGUAUUUAACCAGAAAGCCACGGCUAACUACGCGCCAG